GUGGGUAACCUGCCUGUAAGACUGGGAUAACUCCGGGAAACCGGAGCUAAUACCGGAUAGUUCCUUGAACCGCAUGGUUCAAGGAUGAAAGACGGUUUCGGCUGUCACUUACAGAUGGACCCGCGGCGCAUUAGCUAGUUGGUGGGGUAAUGGCUCACCAAGGCGACGAUGCGUAGCCGACCUGAGAGGGUGAUCGGCCACACUGGGACUGAGACACGGCCCAGACUCCUACGGGAGGCAGCAGUAGGGAAUCUUCCGCAAUGGACGAAAGUCUGACGGAGCAACGCCGCGUGAGUGAUGAAGGUUUUCGGAUCGUAAAGCUCUGUUGUUAGGGAAGAACAAGUGCGAGAGUAACUGCUCGCACCUUGACGGUACCUAACCAGAAAGCCACGGCUAACUACGUGCCAGCAGCCGCGGUAAUACGUAGGUGGCAAGCGUUGUCCGGAAUUAUUGGGCGUAAAGGGCUCGCAGGCGGUUUCUUAAGUCUGAUGUGAAAGCCCCCGGCUCAACCGGGGAGGGUCAUUGGAAACUGGGAAACUUGAGUGCAGAAGAGGAGAGUGGAAUUCCACGUGUAGCGGUGAAAUGCGUAGAGAUGUGGAGGAACACCAGUGGCGAAGGCGACUCUCUGGUCUGUAACUGACGCUGAGGAGCRAAAGCGUGGGGAGCGAACAGGAUUAGAUACCCUGGUAGUCCACGCCGUAACGAUGAGUGCUAAGUGUUAGGGGGUUUCCGCCCCUUAGUGCUGCAGCUAACGCAUUAAGCACUCCGCCU
rnacentral:rRNA from 1 species